rnacentral:rRNA from 1 species
AUUGAACGCUGGCGGCAUGCCUUACACAUGCAAGUCGAACGGCAGCACGGGUGCUUGCACCUGGUGGCGAGUGGCGAACGGGUGAGUAAUAUAUCGGAACGUACCUUAUCGUGGGGGAUAACGCAGCGAAAGCUGUGCUAAUACCGCAUAAGCCCUAAGGGGGAAAGCAGGGGACCGUAAGGCCUUGCGCGAAUAGAGCGGCCGAUACCUGAUUAGCUAGUUGGUGAGGUAAAGGCUCACCAAGGCAACGAUCAGUAGCUGGUCUGAGAGGACGAUCAGCCACACUGGGACUGAGACACGGCCCAGACUCCUACGGGAGGCAGCAGUGGGGAAUUUUGGACAAUGGGGGCAACCCUGAUCCAGCAAUGCCGCGUGAGUGAAGAAGGCCUUCGGGUUGUAAAGCUCUUUUGUCAGGGAAGAAACAGCAGCUCUAAUACAGUAUGCGAAUGACGGUACCUGAAGAAUAAGCACCGGCUAACUACGUGCCAGCCGCCGCCGUAACAC